ensembl:ncRNA C37A5.13 ncRNA
AGCUUGUUGAGAGCUUCAAAAUAAGUAUAAUCACGACUAGAUUCCGUCAACUUUG